ensembl:ncRNA Y48A6B.16 ncRNA
CCGCGAUAUGUCUGAUGCUACAACAAUUUAUCCCAGCCGGGGGCCCGUGAACCGUCGGCCGCUAAACCGGAAAAAACGCACUGACGUGCAUGGAGUCUGCAGCUGAUAGAACAAUCGAUUGGCCGUCGGAAUAUGGAAAUGAUUACGCU